UCGGCUUAGAGUUUGAUCAUGGCUCAGGACGAACGCUGGCGGCGUGCCUAAUACAUGCAAGUCGAACGAAUUGGUGCUUGCAUCAUUGAGUGGCGAACUGGUGAGUAACACGUGGGAAACCUGCCCAGAAGCGGGGGAUAACACCUGGAAACAGAUGCUAAUACCGCAUAACAACUUGACCGCAUGGUCCGAGUUGAAAGAUGUUCGUAUCACUUUUGGAUGGUCCCGCGGCGUAUUAGCUAGAUGGUGAGGUAACGGCUCACCAUGGCAAUGAUACGUAGCCGACCUGAGAGGGUAAUCGGCCACAUUGGGACUGAGACACGGCCCAAACUCCUACGGGAGGCAGCAGUAGGGAAUCUUCCACAAUGGACGAAAGUCUGAUGGAGCAACGCCGCGUGAGUGAAGAAGGGUUUCGGCUCGUAAAACUCUGUUGUUAAAGAAGAACAUAUCUGAGGUAAUUCAGGUAUUGACGGUAUUUAACCAGAAAGCCACGGCUAACUACGUGCCAGCAGCCGCGGUAAUACGUAGUGGCAAGCGUUGUCCGGAUUUAUUGGGCGUAAAGCGAGCGCAGCGGUUUUUUAAGUCUGAUGUGAAAGCCUUCGGCUCAACCGAAGAAGUGCAUCGGAAACUGGGAAACUUGAGUGC
rnacentral:rRNA from 1 species